rnacentral:rRNA from 1 species
UACGAAGGGGGCUAGCGUUGCUCGGAAUUACUGGGCGUAAAGAGCUCGUAGGCGGUGUGUCACGUCGGCCGUGAAAACCUGCAGCUUAACUGUGGGCGUGCGGUCGAUACGGGCAUCACUGGAGUUCGGCAGGGGAGACUGGAAUUCCUGGUGUAGCGGUGAAAUGCGCAGAUAUCAGGAGGAACACCGGUGGCGAAGGCGGGUCUCUGGGCCGAUACUGACGCUGAGGAGCGAAAGCAUGGGGAGCGAACAGG